ACGGGAGGCAGCAGUGGGGAAUUUUGCGCAAUGGGGGGAACCCUGACGCAGCAGCGCCGCGUGCGGGACGGAGGCCUUCGGGCUGUAAACCGCUUUCAGCAGGGAAGACAACGACGGUACCUGCAGAAGAAGCUCCGGCUAACUACGUGCCAGCAGCCGCGGUAAUACGUAGGGGGCGAGCGUUAUCCGGAUUCAUUGGGCGUAAAGCGCGCGUAGGCGGCUGCCUAAGCGGAGUUUCUAACCUUGGGGCUCAACCUCAAGCCGGACCCCGAACUGGGCGGCUCGAGUGCGGUAGGGGCAGGCGGAAUUCCACGUGUAGCGGUGAAAUGCGCAGAUAUGUGGAGGAACACCGAUGGCGAAGGCAGCCUGCUGGGCCGACACUGACGCUGAGGCGCGAAAGCGUGGGUAUCAAACAGGAUUAGAUACCCUGGUA
rnacentral:rRNA from 1 species